GACGAACGCUGGCGGCGUGCUUAACACAUGCAAGUCGAACGGAAAGGCCCUGCUUUUGUGGGGUGCUCGAGUGGCGAACGGGUGAGUAACACGUGAGUAACCUGCCCUUGACUUUGGGAUAACUUCAUGAAACUGGGGCUAAUACCGGAUAGGAGCUCCUGCUGCAUGGUGGGGGUUGGAAAGUUUCGGCGGUUGGGGAUGGACUCGCGGCUUAUCAGCUUGUUGGUGGGGUAGUGGCUUACCAAGGCUUUGACGGGUAGCCGGCCUGAGAGGGUGACCGGACACAUUGGGCGUGAGAUGCGGCACAGACUACUACGGGAGGCAGCAGUGGGGAAUAUUGCACAAUGGGCGGAAGCAUGACGCAGCACCGCAGCGUGGGGGAUGACGGCCUUCGGGUUGUAAACCGAUUUCGCCUGUGACGAAGCGUGAGUGACGGUAAUGGGUAAAGAAGCACCGGCUAACUACGUG
rnacentral:rRNA from 1 species